UGCACUCACUACUGUAAGUCGCUCUGGAUAAGAGUGUCUGCUAAAUGACUAAUU
rfam:Salmo salar isolate Sally breed double haploid chromosome ssa10, whole genome shotgun sequence.